UACGUAGGGGGCAAGCGUUGUCCGGAUUCAUUGGGCGUAAAGAGCGUGUAGGCGGCCAGGUAGGUCGGUUGUGAAAACUGGAGGCUCAACCUUCAGAGGUCGACCGAAACCAUCUGGCUAGAGUCCGGGAGAGGAGAGUGGAAUUCCUGGUGUAGCGGUGAAAUGCGCAGAUAUCAGGAAGAACACCCGUGGCGAAAGCGGCUCUCUGGAACGGUACUGACGCUGAGACGCGAAAGCGUGGGGAGCGAACAGG
rnacentral:rRNA from 3 species